AUGAUUGCAGGAAUUUGUAGUGUUUGCGUUAGACUAAUAUUCCUGGUCCAUUAUUUCACAGGUUGGAUUCGAAUAAAAGUUGCAAUGAAGGACAUGUGUUUCCGGUGUAAUGACACAAAGUGCCCAGAGGUGACGAAAUGUUUUGAUCAUAAUGAUGACCUGAACCAGAAUCUGCUGAUGGUGCCAGGUCCUUUCCAGCAAUGCACAUCCACCCCCUAUCCUCCUUCUGGGAGGUGCACCAUGUGUAGUCUGGAUUAUUAUUACACUGUGUGCAGAAACGUCUCAGAGAGCUUCCAGCCUGCCCUGGAGGCCAACAGCACAGCCAUUACCAACUAUGAACAAGCCAAUUGCCUUGUCAUCGGCAUCGCACCAACUACUGUGAAUGCACUCAGGACUACCCAUCCCUUAACCAAGCUAUUUGGACCCAACCCCCAGAGAAAGUGACAGGGACAGCACUCAGGACUACCCAAACCCCCAGAUCAGGAUGCUGCUGCGUUAUCUCUGCCUUAAUUCCAUCACUUUAACUCUUCUUCUUAAAGUUGUAAUCUUUUAAUACGUUUUCAUAUUCAUAUUCUUGUAAAUCAGUACCGUUAAACCAGUGCCUUGGAUAAUUUUUGGUCCUCUAAUACUGACACCAGCCGGCUAAAGCCUACUCUUAUUCUUAGGAAUAAGUAUGGAAAUACAAAUGUUUUACCCAUGACGCAUCUACCAGGGUAUUUUGAAUGGGGCAAAAAAGGAAAAUAUGUCCAGUUAUUAAUCAAGCAGAGAUAAGCUUAUUCAAAAGUUGAUGCACUUUAACCCACCAAUGAAUUAUAAUUUACACAUGUUCUAUAACACCCAUUCCACCUUUGAAACUUCAUAUGAGUCUGGUCUGCACAUGGCUGAGGGAGGAAUGUAGUGAUUUAUAAUACAAGUUAUUACCAUCAAGAUGAUGGUACAGGACCCCACUACUGAAAAUCAACCUGGGUUCAUAAAUGAUUUGUGCCAUCCAUCUCCCUAAUGAAAAGGAUUUAUCCUAGCCUUCACCACCACUGUACUGUAUGUAAAAGCAUUAUGUUGUACUGUGCUAUUUGUCUAUGUCAGUACUGUAUUUCUAAUGCUAGUGUUUGUGAAAUGCAGUAAGUCUAUUUACAAGUAUAUUUAUGCUGUAAAGCAGGGUUUCCCAAAGUCAUUUAAAUUGGUUAUUUGAAUCAGCUGUGUAGUGCUAGGGCAAAAAAGAUAUAUGGACCCAGGGUGGGCCCCACAACUGAGUUUGGGAAACCCUGCUGUACAUUAUGAGGCUGUAAUACUCUAUUCUAUACCAGUACUCAAGUGUUGGAGAAAAGCAUCAUGAAAUAUUUACUUCUCUUUCUCAAAUAAAUCUUUAUAUAAAUGAAUUUAUAUUGUGUUGCAUUUAUUGCCACCUUUCUGGUGUCACACAUUUAUCUGGGUAUAUACAUUUUUCAGCAUGUGUGAUACUCUACUUCCAAUGAAACAAUGAGGAUCUAUGAACACCAGUGAAAUGGUUUAUUACACAUUCCCUAGAACAGUGGUUCCCAACCAGGUGUACUAGGACCCCCGGGAUUACUUGGUCUGUCCACAGGGGGUACUUGGUCUGUCCACAGGGAGUACUUGGUCUGUCCACAGGGAGUACUUGGUCUGUCCACAGGGAGUACUUGGUCUGUCCACAGGGGGUACUUGGUCUGUCCACAGGGAGUACUUGGUCUGUCCACAGGGAGUACUUGGUCUGUCCACAGGGGGUACUUGAGAACACACAUGAGAACAUAGGCCUACUGGUAAAAUGCAGAUGAGUGGGUACUUCAGAUGUACUCCGGGCAGAGCAACAUUCAGUUGGUGGUACAGUACCUGAAAAAGGUGGAGAACCACUGCCCUAAAGGACUACAUUUCUCCUUCAUAGACCUGCGUGUCAGGGCAUGGAUUUACAUUAUUCAGUGGUCUGAAUAAUAUGAAUCCAGGUCUGUUGGCCUGGUAAACUUGACUUUUCAAGUGCUUUGCAUCCUCAGACCUGAUACUAAAUGACUAUGAAUGAUGUGACAGAACACAAUAGUUACAGUAACAACAUUAAUGCCAUUUUCUGUAGUAUUAACUAAGUGACUCCAACUUCAACUCAUGAUUGAAAUCGGAUGCUAAGCCACUAAGGGCAGUUUACCAGGCCAACAGACCACAAAUGGCAUGGAAGGUAAGCCACAGCCUUCCCCCUCUGUGAUCCAAAUCCUCAGUGAAUUUCAGAAAUAAAAAAACGGUGAAACAUCUAAAAAGUUAUCCUUUCAAGAUAAAACUAUAUUAAAUAUAUUAGCUUCAGGGGGAAGCUGCUUCCACCAUUGAGGUGCCAGGACAGAGAAGAGCGUUGACUGGGCUGAGCGGGAGCUGCCCUCCUGUAGGGGUGGGAGGGUCAAGAGACCUGAGGUGGCAGAACGGAGUGCUUGGGUUGGGGUGUAAGGUUUGAGCAUAGCCUGAAGGUAGGGAGGGACAGUUCCUCUUGCUGUUCCGUAGGUAAGCACCAUGGUCUUGUAGUGGAUGCGAGCUUUGACUGCAAGCCAAUGGAGAGAGCGGAGGAGCAGGGUGACAUGAGAGAACCUGGGAAGGUUGAAAACCAGGCGUGCAGCAGCGUUCUGGAUAAAUUACAGGGGUUUGAUGGCACAAGCAGGGAGCCCAGCCAACAGCGAGUUGUAGUAGUCUAGAUGGGAGAAGACAAGUGCCUGGAUUAGGACCUGUGCCGCUUCCUGCGUAAGGUGGGGUCGUACUCCACGAAUGAUGUAGAGCAUGCACCUGCAGGAGCGGGUCACUGCUUUGAUGUUUGCAGAGAAUGACAUGGUGUUGUCCAGGGUCACGCCAAGGUUCUUUGCACUCUGGAUGGGCGACACUGUGGAGUUGUCAACCGUGAUGGAGAGGUCUUUGAGCAGGCAGGCCUUCCCCUGGAGGAAGAGCAGUUCCGUCUUGUUGAGCUUGAGGUGGUGGGCCGACAUUCAAGUUGAGAUAUCUGCCAGGCAUACAGAGAUGAGUGUCGCCACCUGGGUGUCAAAAGGGGGAAGGAGAAAAGUAGUUGAGUGUCAUCCGCAUAGCAAUGAUAGGAGAGAUCAUGUGAGGAUAUGACGGACACAAGUGACUUGGUGUAUAAAGAGAAAAGGAGAGGGCCUAGAACCGAGCCCUGGGGGACACCAGUAGUGAGAGUACGUGGUGCAGACACAGAUUCUCUCCACGUCACCUGGUAGGAGCGGCCUGCCAGGUAGGAUGCAAUCCAAGAUCAAUCAAUCAAUCAAAUGUAUUUUUAUAUAGCCCUUCGUACAUCAGCUGAUAUCUCAAAGUGCUGUACAGAAACCCAGCCUAAAACCCCAAACAGCAAGCAAAGCAUGUGAAAGAAGCACGGUGGCUAGGAAAAACUCCCUAGGAAAAACUCCCUAGAAAGGCCAAAAACCUAGGAAGAAACCUAGAGAGGAACCAGGCUAUGAGGGGUGGCCAGUCCUCUUCUGGCUGUGCAGGGUGGAUAUUAUAACAGAACAUGGUCAAGAUGUUAAAAUGUUAAAAUGUUCAUAAAUGACCAGCAUGGUCAAAUAAUAAUAAUCAUAGUAGUUGUCGAGGGUGCAACAAGCACGUCCGGUGAACAGGUCAGGGUUCCAUAGCCGCAGGCAGAACAGUUGAAACUGGAGCAGCAGCACGGCCAGGUGGACUGGGGACAGCAAGGAGUCAUCAUACCAGGUAGUCCUGAGGCAUGGUCCUAGGGCUCAGGUCCUCCGAGAGAAAGACAGAAAGAGAGAAAGAGAGAAUUAGAGAGAGCAUAUUUAAAUUCACACAGGACACCGGAUAAGACAAGAGAAAUACUCCAGAUGUAACAGACUGACCCUAGCCCCCCGACACAUAAACUACUGCAGCAUAAAUACUGGAGGCUGAGACAGGAGGGAUCAGAAGACACUGUGGCCCCAUCCGAUGAUACCCCCGGACAGGGCCAAACAGGCAGGAUAUAACCCCACCCACUUUGCCAAAGCACAGCCCCCACACCACUAGAGGGAUGUCUCCAACCACCAACUUACCGUCCUAAGACAAGGCCGAGUAUAGCCCACAACGAUCUCCGCCAUGGCACAACCCAAGGGGGGGGGGCGCCAACCCAGAGCGGAGUGUGUUGAGUGUGUUGAGCCUGAGAAGCCCAGCCCUGAGAGGGUGGAGAGGAGGAUCUGAUGAUUCACGGUGUCGAAGGCAGCGGAUAGAUCUAAGAAGAUGAAAACAGAGGAGAGAGAGUCAGCUUUGGCAGUGCGGAGAGCCUCCGUGUCCCAGAGAAGAGCAGUCUCGGUCUUGACUCAAAGAGAGAAAAAGACAAUAGUUGAACAGUUUUGACAUUUCUCCAAAAUGGAGAAACAAUAGAGAGAGAGAGAGAGAGAGAGAGAGAGAGCUAGCUACUGUAUAUUUCAUAGUAUAUAUUUUUUUCACUUUCACUUAUUUAGCUAGCUUCGAAUGCAGCUAGCUAGUUUAACCUACUCAAAUUCCCGGCUUAAACAGAGAGGGAUGCUAUAUUAGCUAG
rnacentral:lncRNA from 8 species